GUGUCAGCAGCCGCGGUAAGACGAACCGUGCGAACGUUGUUCGGAAUCACUGGGCUUAAAGGGCGCGUAGGCGGGCGGUCCAGUCAGGGGUGAAAUCUUUCGGCUCAACCGGAAAAGUGCCCCUGAUACUGACCGCCUCGAGGGGUGUAGGGGCAUGCGGAACUUCCGGUGGAGCGGUGAAAUGCGUAGAUAUCGGAAGGAACGCCGGUGGCGAAAGCGGCGUGCUGGACACCUACUGACGCUGAGGCGCGAAAGCCAGGGGAGCAAACGGGAUUAGAUACCCUCGUAGUCC
rnacentral:rRNA from 1 species